CUUUUUCUUUACAUCUUUUUAAAUACAGAAACUCCAACAAAUACAACCACGUUACCCACCAUAAAUUACAAAACAUCAUCGAUCCUGCCCAAAGCGUCAUCAUCAACACCACCACCACCACCAUCACAUUAACAUCGUUAACAAUAUCAAACAGCGACAUGGAGUCACAAGAGCAGCGAUUACAAAGGAAGGUCAUAUCAGUCAGUACGUUGUUAGCUAUCUCUCUGAUAGCUAAUGUCCUCCUCUUGGGUGUUGUCAUCUUGCGGACCCGGGGGAGACGCCAGCAUG